UGGGGAUGUUUGUCCGUAAAGGUGGAUGAGUGGUGUUUGGUUUGUUACGUGUGGUUGGCUGCGGCGUUUGCAACAACUUCCAUGCUUUCAGACCUCUUCAGUUGUGCGGCAAGGCUUGUAUCGCCUUGAGCGUAUUGUGGGUUUUCUGUGUUGACUACCUAAUCAAUGGUAUCGGUUGGAUUGAUCAAUGUUUCAUUUCGUCUAUCGUCGCAUUCGCGGCGUGAGAUGAACCUUGAUGCGGUCUCUUUGAUCCACCUCGUCGAAGCACAUGCUUUGACGUUGUGGCACAUUGAGCAUUGCUUGGUCUCUUGUAUACGGAACAUAUAGUGGGCAUAGAUCUAACGAUUCUUGUUUGCCCUCAUAUUAGCGUAACGCUUCUCUUACACGACUUGCUCUACGUUUUAGCUCGUACGGACGUGGUGCUAUGUCGAAGAGGAAUGCUACCUGGUUGAUCCUGCCAGUAGUCA
rnacentral:misc_RNA from 1 species